rnacentral:rRNA from 1 species
CCGGCAUCGGGAUAUGGUUAAAGCCUUCGGGCGGUACAAGAUGGCCAUGCGUCCCAUUAGUUUGUUGGUAAGGUAACGGCUUACCAAGACUACGAUGGGUAGGGGCCCUGAGAGGGGGAUCCCCCACACUGGUACUGAGACACGGACCAGACUCCUACGGGAGGCAGCAGUGAGGAAUAUUGGACAAUGGAGGAGACUCUGAUCCAGCCAUGCCGCGUGCAGGAAGAAUGCCCUAUGGGUAGUAAACUGCUUUUAUACGGGAAGAAAAAGAGCUACGUGUAGCUUACUGACGGUACCGUAAGAAUAAGGACCGGCUAACUCCGUGCCAGCAGCCGCGGUAAUACGGAGGGUCCGAGCGUUAUCCGGAAUUAUUGGGUUUAAAGGGUCCGUAGGCGGGCCGAUAAGUCAGGGGUGAAAGUCUGCCGCUCAACGGUAGAACUGCCUUUGAUACUGUCGGUCUUGAGUUAUAGUGAAGUUGCCGGAAUAUGUAGUGUAGCGGUGAAAUGCAUAGAUAUUACAUAGAACACCGAUUGCGAAGGCAGGUGACUAACUAUAUACUGACGCUGAUGGACGAAAGCGUGGGGAGCGAACAGGAUUAGAUACCCUGGUAGUCCACGCCGUAAACGAUGGAUACUAGCUGUCCGGAACCUUGAGUUCUGGGCGGCCAAGCGAAAGUGAUAAGUAUCCCACCUGGGGAGUACGUUCGCAAGAAUGAAACUCAAAGGAAUUGACGGGGGCCCGCACAAGCGGUGGAGCAUGUGGUUUAAUUCGAUGAUACGCGAGGAACCUUACCAGGGCUUAAAUGCAUAUUGACAGGUCUAGAGAUAGAUUUUCCUUCGGGCAAUUUGCAAGGUGCUGCAUGGUUGUCGUCAGCUCGUGCCGUGAGGUGUCAGGUUAAGUCCUAUAACGAGCGCAACCCCUACCGUUAGUUGCCAGCAUGUCAUGAUGGGGACUCUAACGGGACUGCCGGUGCAAACCGUGAGGAAGGUGGGGAUGACGUCAAAUCAUCACGGCCCUUACGUCCUGGGCCACACACGUGCUACAAUGGCAGGUACAGAGAGCAGCCAUGUCGCAAGGCAGAGCGAAUCUAUAAAACCU